rnacentral:rRNA from 1 species
UACGUAGGGCGCGAGCGUUGUCCGGAUUUAUUGGGCGUAAAGAGCUCGUAGGCGGCUUGUUGCGUCGGCUGUGAAAACCCGCGGCUUAACUGCGGGCUUGCAGUUGAUACGGGCAGGCUAGAGUUCGGUAGGGGAGACUGGAAUUCCUGGUGUAGCGGUGAAAUGCGCAGAUAUCAGGAGGAACACCGGUGGCGAAGGCGGGUCUCUGGGCCGAUACUGACGCUGAGGAGCGAAAGCGUGGGGAGCGAACAGG